CUGGCUAAUAUCAUAAUUAACAAAGUUGCUACUACAUCUGCAAAGUUUAAUCGAAAAAUUUGCCAGUGAUAUGAUGGCAUUGUCACAAAGAUCACAAGGGACACGGAGUCGACUUUUGCUCCAGGUGGAAUGGCAGAGCUGUGUAGGCAAGAUGCGCAGUCAUGAACUUGUUCAGCCAAAGGUUAUGCUUCGUAUCACCCACCAGGGAGGAUCAUCUCAUGAAAACUUUCAAAUUUGAUUUUGAAAAUUAUUCAGAAAAAAUUAAGCCACGCUAUCUCCCAGUGUAGGAGAGAAUAUGCUCUGGAGAGUGAUAUAAUUCACAGAAAAUGGCCUGGGAUAGUACUUGGGUCCUCAUGCUGACAGAAUCCUCUUGAGAAGAACAGCCAGGAGGCUAAUAAUGAAGGGCCGGACGGAGGCCAGUACUAUGAGGGUUAUCUCACAGCCUCAGAUGCUGGAUAAGCCCAAGGAGGCGGAAUAGCUUUUGGAUGGCAUUCAGAAAGGCCGGAGUGAUGAUUUGGAAGAGAAAAUCUGCCUAUUCUUUUCCAAGGUUUUGUGAUUAUUGUCCUGGCCUGCCCAUCCAUGGAUGCAUUGUUAGCAACCAGCCUUAGACAAAGGAUACACUCGGAGCCUCACCACACCUAAAGCCACGCUUUGAAGGAUCUGCCAAGCUCACUUUUAAUCAUGAGAAAGAAAUUACCCACAUGGAGUCAGCAGAAAAUGAGAAAGUAGAGCUCGUGCUGCGAAUAAUUCCAGCAAGUGCCAAGGGGCUAGUU